rnacentral:rRNA from 1 species
AUUGAACGCUGGCGGCAUGCCUUACACAUGCAAGUCGAACGGCAGCACGGGUGCUUGCACCUGGUAGCGAGUGGCGAACGGGUGAGUAAUAUAUCGGAACGUACCUUAUUGUGGGGGAUAACGCAGCGAAAGCUGUGCUAAUACCGCAUAAUCCCUAAGGGGGAAAGCGGGGGACCGUAAGGCCUCGCGCAAUUAGAGCGGCCGAUACCUGAUUAGCUAGUUGGUGAGGUAAAGGCUCACCAAGGCAACGAUCAGUAGCUGGUCUGAGAGGACGAUCAGCCACACUGGUGCUGAGACACGGCCCAUACUCCUACGGGAGGCAGCAGUGGGGAAUUUUGGACAAUGGGGGCAACCCUGAUCCAGCAAUGCCGCGUGAGUGAAGAAGGCCUGCGGGUUGUAAAGCUCUGUUGUCAGGGAAGAAACAGCAGCUCUAACACAGUUUGCGAAUGACGGUACCUGAAGAAUAAGCACCGGCUAACUACGUGCCAGCCGCCGCAGUAA